UGGGGAUUGAAGCCUUAAAGGCUUCCAUGAGAGAAAGCAGGUAGGUAGUGAGCUGGUGCUGGUCUCCGGCGUCUCCCGGCUUCCCGACCCACCCUCCUGCACCCUGCGUUGUUUUUCCUUUCUCUGGAUCCUAGGAAGGCGAGAGUGGAGCUGUCUUCUAAGGGUCCCAUCCUUUAGAGUUCUGCCUGUGCCUUUCAGUAAGUCUUUAAGGUACUGGAGUUCACCCACUCACUUUCUAUUUUUGGCGGUCAUAUUUAUAUUUGGAAUGAACAGAAAGAUUUCAUAUCCUGGCCUCUAACUUGAAUCUCUUCCAAGAGAAACGUAGGUGACCUUACCUCACUCCCUUCUCCUCCGUCGGAAAUGAAUUCUCUUUUGAAGUCAUUUCUGCCAACCCGCUUUGGGCACUGUUUGUCCCCCGCUCAGAAGUGGGGCUGUGACAGAUGCAUCCCUUCCUCUUCCCAGUCCUCGGGCCUGGAACUCUUCUAUGGCUGCUGCCAGGAAGCAGAAGAUGCCCCUGAGUGCUUGAAGGCACUGGAAAGCUGAGCCACUUAUCAGAAGGAAGUUGGUCCUGAAUAACUAAGAACAGAAGAGGUCACCAAGUGGGGACAUGAGCACACAUCAUCAAGGUGUGGAUCUCUUUGUUACAGCAAUGAGGCUUUCCUGACUGAUAAAGGCAGUUGAGACUUCAUCAGGUCCAUGAACAAAUAGAAGGUGCUGAAGGCAAAGUAAAUGAACUGAACCUUUGUGGAUAAUGAUGUGUGGGAAACCCCUGGGCGUUAUCUGGAAACCAAAGGGGAUCAGUAUUGCAAGAUGACAUGGGGGA
rnacentral:lncRNA from 1 species